GCACAGAGUUAGCCGUGCGUUUCCUCAACCGGUACCGAUCAGUCCCCGACGUGUUAGGUCGAAGCUUUACGUCCCGAUCAACAGGAGUUUACAAUCCGAAGACCUUCAUCCUCCACGCGGCGUUGCGUCGUCAGGCUUGCGCCCAUUGCGAACAAUUCCCCA
rnacentral:rRNA from 1 species